GAUGAAGAACGUAGCGAAAUGCGAUAAGUAGUGUGAAUUGCAGAAUUCAGUGAAUCAUCGAAUCUUUGAACGCACCUUGCGCCCUUUGGCUAUUCCGAAGGGCAUGCCUGUUUGAGUAUCAUGAACACCUCAACUCUCAUGGUUUUUCCAUGAUGGGCUUGGACUUUGGGGGUCUUGCUGGCCUAUAGUCAGCUCCUCUUAAAUGAAUCAGCUUGCCAGUGUUUGGUGGCAUCACAGGUGUGAUAACUAUCUACGCUUGUGGUUUUCCAUCAAGUCACCUUCAGCGAUGGGGUUCGCUGGGGCUCAUAAAGAAGGCCUCUCCUCGGUGAGGAUGGCUCCUUUGAACGUUUGAUCUCAAAUCAGGUAGGACUACCCGCUGAACUUAAGCAUAUCAAUAAGCGGAGGA
rnacentral:misc_RNA from 1 species